rnacentral:snoRNA from 1 species
CCUAUCGACAAUGAUGAGAUGAUAUCCUUUAUUCUGAAUGGUCUUGAUUUGGAAUAUAAUCCCAUUGUUUUUUCUGUUUUGGGUUGGUCAGAUCCAAUCUCUAUCAAUGAUCUCUAUGCUCAAAUCAUGGCAUAUGAGA